GACAGAAAGCGGAGCUGACACAGUGACGCCCUUCCUUUGUUUACUUCGCCCUCCUCGUUUCUCUCCCCGAACAUGGAGCGAGGUAAGAAGAAAGCGAAGAGAUCUCUCCUUUGCCUUCCCGAAUCCGAUGUCGCCGUUCCUGCCGCGAUCCGCUAGUGCUUCCCCGGCUUCGGGGUAGAGGCGGCGCCUGAGGAGAAAAAAGGAAUAAACUGCAAUGCAUGAAGAAAGAUAGCAGUAGAUUCUUGAUCUACUUUGCUUUAUGCUUUUAGAUAGCAAACUAUCCUUAGAAAUGGAGUUUGUUUGCGUCCAAUUUGAAGGAAAGUGAGGAAAAAAUAGAGGAGAAAAUGAUGCGGAAAUUCGAACUUUAAGGGAUCAAAAUGAGGGCGACCCACCCCAUCAAGUACAAAGUUCUCCAGUAGUAGGAUGCCAGGUGUUCUAGCCCUUUCGAUUAUGUACGACAAGUGCAUUAGAUAAGGGCAGUUUUGGUGAAGCAGGGAAUGAAGCCAUUGGUCCAUCAGAUGUCAUAUAUUUUGGGUCAUUAUUAUUUGAUAUCCUCGAAUUGCUCAUUUAAUUAAUUGAUGUAUUCACAUUUUGGGGUUAAGUCAAAUGGUUUCAGAAAAAUGAAUUAUCAUACUACAACAUAACUAAUUAAUGUCGCAGUCGUACUAUAAAU